CAAAUAAAAUCAUUAAAAUUAAAAUCCCUACAAUUGGUACAAUGCUUCGGGAUACUAUGUUUCAAACUUUUUUUAUUUAUGCCGUUAAAAGGCUCCAAAAGCCUUAUAUGCAGUUUCCUGAUAGUGCGUCCCACAUACUGGAUUCCACACUUGCAAUGUAAAAGAUAUACUCGUAGUAUAUCUUUUACUUUCUGCGCCUACGAUGGUGACCAUGGGUAACGGGGAAUCAGGGUUCGAUUCCGGAGAGGGAGCCUGAGAAAUGGCUACCACAUCCAAGGAAGGCAGCAGGCGCGCAAAUUACCCAUUCCCGAAGUGAGAAGGUAGUGA